CAUUCAUGGCCUUCAUGGGUGGGUAAUAAGUGAUGAUCUCUUCCAGGGGCUGCCUUCAGAGGAAGGCUACAGCUUCAGCCUGACUCCGUCCUCCUGCCCCUCCCCCCCCCCCCCACCGCUAACCAAACCAGCCCAAACCAGCCCUUCCCAGCCUGACUCAGUCGAGACCCUCCUAUGUUGCCUCACUAGCAGCAAAAGGGGAUUAGGUUAGACAGGAGGAAUGCUUUCCUGGUAGAAGAAGAGGCAGGAAAUAAGGAGGCAGGCGUUGGAGUAAGAUGCCUUUAGUCUCUUCUAGAACCGUCUAUCUCGGCCCCACCCUUAGAUAAGGCCCGGCAGGGCCUCCCAGGAGUGACUUACCCUGAAACCAGGUAGGUCUUGAGGGCACUAAUGAUGACUGAGGAGUCAUUGAGCUGUUGCUGGAAGGGAAGAGACAAUUGUCUUUUGUGAUGCUGGCACAGAGGCUGGGGCCCUGGGCAGGUGAGGCAUGCCCGAGUACUAAGCCACGCCCUUGCCCAAAAGACAGGUUCGGAUCAGAGGUUCCGGCUGGCACAGAAGGACUGGGCUCCUUAAACAAUGGCAGCACCCGAGGUCCUUGAACCUGGGCACUGCUGAUCCAUCACAGAGGUACCCCAAACUCACGUCCUGAGCUCACUACUCCCCAUUCUCAGGCCCUCUUUUGGAGUAAUGGUGACCAGCUUACACUUUAUUUUCUUUGUGAAUGACAGAGAGGGUGGUCAGAAGACAGCUCGUAUAGUUGGUCUCCUUCUACCAGAGUCCUGGGACUUAAACUCAGGACGUCAGGUUUAGCAGCAAGCGCCUUUACCCAAAGUCAUGUCAGCGGCCCUUAAUUAAAACUGUAAUCUGGGCAUAGUGA